rnacentral:rRNA from 1 species
GCGGUAAGAGCUCGUAGGUGGUUCGUCACGUUCGGAUGUGAAAAUCUGGGGCUUAACCCCAGACCUGCAUUCGAUACGGGCGAGCUAGAGUGUGGUAGGGGAGACUGGAAUUCCUGGUGUAGCGGUGGAAUGCNCAGAUAUCAUGAGGAACACCAAUGGCGAAGGCAGGUCUCUGGGCCAUUACUGACACUGAGGAGCGAAAGCGUGGGGAGCGAACAGGAUUAGAUACCCUGGUAGUCCACGCCNUAAACGGUGGGCACUAGUUGUGGGAACCUUCCACGGUUUCUGCGACGCAGCUAACGCAUUAAGUGCCCCGCCUGGGGAGUACGAUCGCAAGAUUAAAACUCAAAGGAAUUGACGGGGCCCCGCACAAGCAGCGGAGCAUGCGGCUUAAUUCNACGCAACGCGAAGAACCUUACCAAGGCUUGACAUAUACAGGAAUAUGGCAGAGAUGUCAUAUCCGCAAGGUCUGUAUACAGGUGGUGCAUGGUUGUCGUCANCUCNUGUCGUGAGAUGUUGGGNUAAGUCCCGCAACGA